AUACUUACCUCGCAGGGGGGAUACCGCGAUCAAGAAGGAGGUUCACCGAGGGUGCACCCCGGCUGUGCUGACCACUGAGAAUUCCCCAAAUGUGGGAAUCUCGACUGCAUUUUUUAGGGGCAGUGGUGGCCCAGC
ensembl:snRNA U1 U1 spliceosomal RNA